UCAACCGGCGGCGAGCUCAGGGUAAAGAGCUUCAGGUCAUGGCUUUUACUCCAUUCGAGAUGGCAACUCAUGUUAGUAUUGUGGGGAGAAUGAGCAAAUCAGAACAGGAGUCCCUUGGAAUAAUGUUGGCACCUUGCUGAAGCAAAAUUACAGGAAUGCAACUUUCUUGUCCUUGUCACUUUUAUCCAUUGCACAUUCCUCAUUUGUAUUGCUAUAAUGUUUAUUUUAAUUUUACGGAUUAAUGGUUUUCUGUCUCCUUGACUGAAGGUGAAACCAUUGUUUAUAUGCUGUUGGCACCGUAUCAAUGAGCUCUUGCUACAUAUUAGAAUCUGAAUUCUUCAACGUAAUGGCCUGAACGAUUUGGUUGGCUAUCUGUUUACCCGACUUGAUUGAUAUCAGUUACAACUAUGGAUUGCCUCUCUCUGCAUUUUAUUAUUCUGGAGAGCAUCCAAAGAUGCAUUUUGUGUCCUAGAAUGCAAAGCAAGCUGUUACAGAACUCAAAUAAAUUUUUAUUUAGCUGUUUUUAUCCUUGUAAUGUGACCUGCACGUCCUCCUAUUCAUCUUGAUGACAACUUCAUUAGGAAACGAUAGAGUUACUUUUGUUAUCGUUCCACGCGAUAGCAAAUGCCUGCCCAUUUAUGCCGUUAUUAUAGAGGUAUAUGUCACUUAGCAAACACUCUUUUUUUUCCCCACCGUAGAUUUGUUUUAGUUAUUCUUUAGUGCCACCUUCCUAUCAUGCAGGACGCAAAGGAUUGUCUGGCAGUGUUACAACUUGCAAGUAUGGAUUGCCUUCUGUGCAAGGUAUAACAAUUACAUGACGUAGUUGAUCUCACUUCUGUUAUAAUAUACCUCAAUUGCAUAAGCUAAGCGAACAUGCAAAUAGAAUUCGUACAUUAUUAAUACUUGUAGAUUAGAAAUUAUAUGUUCAAGCUCACACAUGUGGAAGUAAGAUUUUUCUCGACAAUACUGGCUGGUCCAUUGCAUAACCAUACAAUCUCUACCGAACUUUGUUUGGUAUCCAGGCAUUUGACCACAGGAAUGUUGGAAUUCAUUUACGAUUCCAGUAAGCAAUGUGUUUGGCUGCCACAGAACUAUACAUAUAAUUCAAUAGUCAAUUCCAUCGAGGUCGGCCCAUACGUAACAUUAAUUCCAGUCGGUAUACCUGUCAUUUAUCUCACGCAGCUCUCUCCCCCUGACACUGCUUCUUCCUCCCCAACCCAUCUCCCACCUGACAACAUCCACCUCGUUGCCAAGCCAUGAUGCGUGGUAAAGUUGCUUUGUAUUGAACUUAAAAGUAAAAAAAAGGAGAAGCUUCAUGCAUGUUUAGAUCCUGCGUUUAUCUUGUGAUUUAUUUCUUGGAAAACCCCUGUUGCUUUGUGUUCUUUGAACAUGUCUUCCUAGAGGUUAGCUUUCUUGGAGAUAGCUCCCUUGGAAAUAGCUUCCAUGGAUAUUUCUUGAAUAUUAUCAUUACUUUGCUGUCAAUGAGAUCAUUACCUUGCAUCAAAUGCAGAUAUUUAGUCAGAAUAGAUUAGACUUAUCCAUGAUGAUCACCGCUCCCUGUUCUUGUUUUAGACGCAGACUUAUUAAACUGUUCCAUGAUGUUCAUUGUUGGUAGCUAGUGUGUUCUGAACUGUUUUUUUUUAAGUUUAAAUGAUGUUGUGGCUUAAGUGAGAGUGAGAGAGGCAGAGAGAUGUUGACUAUUACUAGACUGUUGUUUCUAAUUAAUUUCAGUUUCUUUAUCCCGAGUUUAAUGUGUAAUGAACAUGAGUUACUUAGUUACAUGUUUUUUUUUGUUUUUGCGAAAGAAUUAGAAUCACCAAGUAUGAAUCUGAGAAUAAUAGCCACAAGCAGCCGAAAAGGCACUAGUUACAUGCUCACAUGUUUCUACAUCGAUAAACACAACAAGAAACAGUAAUUAUAUCAUCUCAAGAUAUUACUCACCAGAAGCGGCUAAUCUGAGAAUAAAAGGAUAUGUAGACAUUGUUCUUUGUGGCAUAGCACCAUCACAGUAUAAAAUUCUUUGCAUAGUAUUUUCUCCGAAUCUUGCAUUGUUGCUUGUUGUUAUAACAUCUUGUUUGUAUGGUCUUCUGGAAGCCUAUGACAUUCUCAUCUCCAAGGACCGCAAGUUUAAGUCACUUCAAGCCUUGCCGGUGGGAAUGACAAGGAAAUUGGUUAUGAAGCAACUCAAGACUUAGGAUCUUCAUUGUUGAAAUGAAGCAAAGACUAUUUUUUUCCUGAAACUUGGCAUUUGUUAGCAUCUGUGAUCAUAAGCUGUAACAAUUUGCCUUUUUUUU